rnacentral:lncRNA from 1 species
GGGGCUCCCCAGGGGACAGCAGCGCUCCCCAAGAGAAAGCAGGGGCAGGGCUGCCAACAGGAGCGAGAGAGAAGGUCCCAGGAGGAAGGCACAGGGAAGCAGAAAUGCCGGCGCUCUGUUUGGUGGACCUCCCCGAAGGCAUGAGAAAUCUGGACUGGCCAAGGCAGAGGGCUCCCCGAGAGCUGCCCAACUGGCAGGUAGCACAGAAAAUUCUGGAAUGCUGCAGCAGAUUGUGUGGAGCUGAGUGGUGUGAGCCUCGCCCUGCUAAAUAAAGCUUUGGUAUUUCU